rnacentral:rRNA from 1 species
UACGAAGGGUGCAAGCGUUACUCGGAAUUACUGGGCGUAAAGCGUGCGUAGGUGGUGAGUUAAGUCUGUCGUGAAAGCCCCGGGCUCAACCUGGGAAUGGCGAUGGAUACUGGCUCGCUAGAGUGCGGUAGAGGAGAGUGGAAUUCCCGGUGUAGCAGUGAAAUGCGUAGAGAUCGGGAGGAACACCGGUGGCGAAGGCGGGUCUCUGGGCAUCUCCUGACGCUGAGGCGCGAAAGCGUGGGAGCAAACGGG